rnacentral:rRNA from 1 species
GAUGAACGCUGGCGGCGUGCCUAAUACAUGCAAGUCGAGCGAACAGAUAAGGAGCUUGCUCCUUUGACGUUAGCGGCGGACGGGUGAGUAACACGUGGGUAACCUACCUAUAAGACUGGAAUAACUCCGGGAAACCGGGGCUAAUGCCGGAUAACAUGUUGAACCGCAUGGUUCUACAGUGAAAGGCGGCUUUGCUGUCACUUAUAGAUGGACCCGCGCCGUAUUAGCUAGUUGGUGAGGUAACGGCUCACCAAGGCAACGAUACGUAGCCGACCUGAGAGGAUGAUCGGCCACACUGGAACUGAGACACGGUCCAGACUCCUACGGGAGGCAGCAGUAGGGAAUCUUCCGCAAUGGGCGAAAGCCUGACGGAGCAACGCCGCGUGAGUGAUGAAGGUCUUCGGAUCGUAAAACUCUGUUAUUAGGGAAGAACAAAUGCGUAAGUAACUGUGCGCGUCUUGACGGUACCUAAUCAGAAAGCCACGGCUAACUACGUG